rnacentral:rRNA from 1 species
UUGAUCCUGGCUCAGAAUCAACGCUGGCGGCGUGCCUAACACAUGCAAGUCGAACGCGAAAGGGGAGCAAUCCCUGAUUAGAGUGGCAAACGGGUGAGUUACACGUGGGUGACCUGCCUUCGAGUGGGGGAUAACCUUCCGAAAGGAGGUCUAAUACCGCAUGACAUACCGUGUUUGGAUACACGGAUAUCAAAGCCGGUGAUCGCAAGACCUGGCGCUUGGAGAGGGGCCCGCGUCCGAUUAGCUAGUUGGUGAGGUAACGGCUCACCAAGGCUCCGAUCGGUAUCCGGCCUGAGAGGUCGGACGGACACACUGGAACUGAGACACGGUCCAGACUCCUACGGGAGGCUGCAGUGGGGAAUUGUUCGCAAUGGGCGAAAGCCUGACGACGCAACGCCGUGUGGAGGAUGAAGAAUUUCGGUUCGUAAACUCCUUUCGACCGAGAUGAAUACCCAUGGGUUUAAUACGCCUGUGGGCUGACAGUAUCGAGAGAAGAAGCUCCGGCUAACUCUGUGCCAGCAGCCGCGGUAAUAAGGU